rnacentral:rRNA from 1 species
AUGCCUGUACCAUAACCGACACAGGUGGGUAGGUAGAGUAUACUAAGGGGCGCGAGAUAACUCUCUCUAAGGAACUCGGCAAAAUGACUCCGUAACUUCGGGAGAAGGAGUGCCUUAUUUCUAAGGUUGCAAUAACAAGAUCCAAGCAACUGUUUAUCAAAAACACAGGUCUCCGCUAAGUCGUAAGACGAUGUAUGGGGGCUGACGCCUGCCCAGUGCCAGAAGGUUAAAGAAGUUGGUUAGCAUUUUGCGAAGCUGAUAACUGAAGCCCUGGUGAACGGCGGCCGUAACUAUAACGGUCCUAAGGUAGCGAAAUUCCUUGUCGGGUAAGUUCCGACCCGCACGAAAGGCGUAAUGAUUUGGAUACUGUCUCGGAGAGGGACUCGGUGAAAUAGACUUGUCUGUGAAGAUGCGGACUACCUGCACCUGGACAGAGAGACCCUAUGAAGCUUUACUGUAACUUGAAAUUGAAAUUGGACUUUAUUUGCGCAGUAUAGGUGGGAGGCGUUGAGAAUAUUCUUGCGGGAGUAUUGGAGCCAUCAGUGAGAUACCACUCUUGUAAUGUUAGAUUUCUAACUUUGUAUCAUUAUCUGGUCAAAGAACAGUUUCAGGCGGGCAGUUUGACUGGGGCGGUCGCCUCCCAAAUGGUAACGGAGGCGCACAAAGGUUUCCUCUGAACGGGUAGAAAUCGUAUCUAGAGUGUAAAGGCAUAAGGAAGCUUGACUGUGAGACCUACAAGUCGAGCAGGGACGAAAGUCGGUCUUAGUGAUCUGACGGUGCUGAGUGGAAAGGCCGUCACUCAACGGAUAAAAGUUACUCUAGGAUAACAGGCUGAUCUCCCCCAAGAGUUCACAUCGACGGGGAGGUUUGGCACCUGGAUGUCGGCUCAUCGCAUCCUGGGGCGGUAGUACGUCCCAAGGGUUGGGCUGUUCGCCCAUGAAAGCGGUACGCGAGCUGGGUUCAGAACGUCGUGAGACAGUUCGGUCCAUAUCCGGUGUAGGCGUUAGAAUAUUGAGAGGAGCCUUCUUUAGUACGAGAGGACCGAGAAGGACAUACCUCUGGUGUACCAGUUAUCGUGCCAACGGUAAACGCUGGGUAGCUAUGUAUGGAGAGGAUAACCGCUGAAAGCAUCUAAGUGGGAAGCCCACCUCAAGAUAAGUAUUCUCAUCACGUAAGUGAAUAAGGUCACGGUAAGACUAACCGUUUGAUAGGCAUUAAGUGUAAAUCUAGUAAUAGGUGAGCUGAGAUGUACUAACAGACCGAAGAC